rnacentral:misc_RNA from 1 species
GAUGAAGAACGCAGCGAAAUGCGAUAAGUAGUGUGAAUUGCAGAAUUCAGUGAAUCAUCAAAUCUUUGAACGCACAUUGCGCCCCUUGGUAUUCCAUGGGGCAUGCCUGUUCGAGCGUCAUUUGUACCUUCAAGCUCUGCUUGGUGUUGGGUGUUUGUCUCGCCUCUGCGUGUAGACUCGCCUCAAAACAAUUGGCAGCCGGCGUAUUGAUUUCGGAGCGCAGUACAUCUCGCGCUUUGCACUCAUAACGACGACGUCCAAAAGUACAUUUUUACACUCUUGACCUCGGAUCAGGUAGGGAUACCCGCUGAACUUAAGCAUAUCAAUAAGCGGAGGA